UUUCUCCCUUUCAUCUCACUUGUGUCUCGUUCGACGCCGAAGAUGAACCCUUGUGCGAUUGCGACACUCGUUGACCGAUGGCGCCCUGAGACACAUACUUUCCACUUCUUUGCUGGGGAGAUGACAGUCACUUUGCAGGAUGUUUCUCUGAUCACUGGACUUCUCAUCAAAGGAGAGCCUAUUUGUUUUAGCACAUAUUCUGAUGGAUGGCGUGAGAUUAUGGUUGGACUCAUAGGGAGGGAGCCAGGGGUGCAAGGGAAGUCCGCCUUUGCAAGUUAUCAUUGGAUUGCUCAAAACUUUUGCGAGUUACCGGAUGAUGCUGAUGAUGAAACGGUGCAACAGUAUUGCAGGGCAUACUUGUGGUAUGUAGUUAGCCGGACUCUUUUCUCAGACGGCACUGGCGUGAACGCUUCCUUUAUGAGGAUUAAGUUGUUUCCUGGGUGGGAGCAUGGACUAAGUUGGGGUACGAUGGCGCUAUCUUAUUUGUAUCGCUAG
rnacentral:rRNA from 1 species